rnacentral:rRNA from 1 species
UACGUAGGUGGCAAGCGUUGUCCGGAUUUAUUGGGUUUAAAGGGUGCGUAGGCGGCUCGGUAAGUCGGGUGUCAAAUCCUCAGGCUCAACCUGAGGCUCCCCCCGAUAAUGCUGUGGCUAGAGUCCGGUAGGGGAGCGUGGAAUUCCUGGUGUAGCGGUGAAAUGCGCAGAUAUCAGGAGGAACACCGGUGGCGAAGGCGGCCUUCUGGACAGUGACUGACGCUGAGACGCGAAAGCGUGGGGAGCAAACAGG